AGGCAGCAGUGAGGAAUAUUGGUCAAUGGGCGUAAGCCUGAACCAGCCAAGUCGCGUGAGGGAUGAAGGUUCUAUGGAUCGUAAGCCUCUUUUAUAAGGGAAUAAAGUGUGGGACGUGUCCUAUUUUGUAUGUACCUUAUGAAUAAGGAUCGGCUAACUCCGUGCCAGCAGCCGCGGUAAUACGGAGGAUCCGAGCGUUAUCCGGAUUUAUUGGGUUUAAAGGGUGCGUAGGCGGCCUUUUAAGUCAGCGGUGAAAGUCUGUGGCUCAACCAUAGAAUUGCCGUUGAAACUGGGGGGCUUGAGUAUGUUUGAGGCAGGCGGAAUGCGUGGUGUAGCGGUGGAAUGCUUAGAUAUCACGCAGAACCCCGAUUGCGAAGGCAGCCUGCCAAGCCAUGACUGACGCUGAUGCACGAAAGCGUGGGGAUCAAACAGGAUUAGAUACCCUGGUAGUCCACGCAGUAAACGAUGAUCACUAGCUGUUUGCGAUACAGUGUAA
rnacentral:rRNA from 1 species